rnacentral:rRNA from 1 species
GAUGAACGCUGGCGGCGUGCCUAAUACAUGCAAGUCGAGCGAACAGAUGAGAGGCUUGCUUCUCUGAUGUUAGCGGCGGACGGGGGAGUAACACGUGGGCAACCUGCCCUGCAGAUCGGGAUAACUCCGGGAAACCGGUGCUAAUACCGAAUAGUUUUCGCCACCUCCUGGUGGCGUACGGAAAGACGGUUUCGGCUUUCACUGCAGGAUGGGCCCGCGGCGCAUGCGCUAGUUGGUGGGGUAACGGCCCACCAAGGCAACCAUGCGUAGCCGACGUGUGAGGGUGAUCGGCCACACUGGGACUGAGACACGGCACAGACUCCUACGGGAGGCAGCAGUAGGGAAUCUUCCGCAAUGGACGGAAGUCUGACGGAGCAACGCCGCGUGAGUGACGAAGGUUUUCGGAUCGUAACACUUUGUUGUGAGGGAAGAACAAGUACCAACUAACUACUGGUACCUUGACGGUACCUCACCAGAAAGCCACGGCUAACUACGUGCCAGCCGCCGCCGUAA